rnacentral:tRNA from 1 species
UCCCUGGUGGUCUGGUGGUUAAGACUCUGAACUCCCAGUGCAGAGGAUCUGGGUUCAAUCCUUGGUCAGGGAA